UAAUAACGCUGUAUUUUUCUAAAGACAGCAGGUACAAAUGUGUAAAAGGUGUUUGCCUUGCCUGCCGAGGAGAAAUCAUAACCUGAUUCAUAUUUGAAUUGUUAUGCCUUUCUUCGCGGUUUUGCGGGGAAAGGCUUUUUGUAUAAUCAA
rfam:Clostridium methylpentosum DSM 5476 Scfld1 genomic scaffold, whole genome shotgun sequence.